UUGGAGGGCAAGUCUGGUGCCAGCAGCCGCGGUAAUUCCAGCUCCAAUAGCGUAUAUUAAAGUUGUUGCAGUUAAAAAGCUCGUAGUUGAAUUUCGGGGUUAGUAGGUUGGUCAUGCCACUGGUAUGUACUGGUCUCACUGAUUCCUCCUUCCUGAUGAGACGUAAUGCCAUUAAUUUGGUGUUGCGAGGAAUCUGGACUGUUACUUCGAAAAAAUUAGAGUGUUUAAAGCAGGCUAACGCUUGAAUACAUUAGCAUGGAAUAAUGAAAUAGGACGUUCGAUCUUAUUUUGUUGGUUUCUAGGAUUGACGUAAUGAUUAAUAGGGAUAGUUGGGGGCAUUAGUAUUCAAUUGUCAGAGGUGAAAUUCUUGGAUUUAUUGAAGACUAACUACUGCGAAAGCAUUUGCCAAGGAUGUUUUCAUUAAUCAAGAACGAAAGUUAGGGGAUCGAAGACGAUCAGAUACGUCGUAGUCUUAACCAUAGACUAUGCCGACUAGGGAUCGGAUGAUGUUAAUUUUUUAAUGACUCAUUCAACGCCUUACGGGAAACCAAAGUGUUUGGGUUC
rnacentral:rRNA from 1 species